rnacentral:rRNA from 1 species
CCUACGGGGGGCAGCAGUGAGGAAUAUUGGUCAAUGGGCGGGAGCCUGAACCAGCCAAGCCGCGUGAGGGAAGAAGGUACAGCGUAUCGUAAACCUCUUUUGUCAGGGAACAAAGGCGGGGACUAGUCCCCGGCUGCGGGUACCUGAAGAAAAAGCAUCGGCUAACUCCGUGCCAGCAGCCGCGGUAAUACGGAGGAUGCGAGCGUUAUCCGGAUUUAUUGGGUGUAAAGGGUGCGCAGGCGGCCUGUUAAGUCAGCGGUCAAAGCCCGGGGCUCAACCCCGGCGAGCCGUUGAAACUGGCGGGCUGGAGUUGGAGAGAAGUACGCGGAAUGCGCGGUGUAGCGGUGAAAUGCUUAGAUAUCGCGCAGAACCCCGAUUGCGAAGGCAGCGUACCGGCUCCACACUGACGCUGAGGCACGAGAGCGUGGGUAUCGAACAGGAUUAGAUACCCUGGUAGUC